rfam:Ignavibacteria bacterium CG1_02_37_35 cg1_0.2_scaffold_11942_c, whole genome shotgun sequence.
UUCCGGAUAAUAGUUAACAGAUUGUUGCCCAACUCCGUCAGGUCCGAAAGGAAGCAGCGGUUAGUAUUCAGUUUGUGUAAUUUAUUAUCCGGUUUUU